CCGAGGAGUCCCAGUCGGCUGCGAGUCGUUGGAGCGUCCCGUUCGAAUCGCGAACUCCGACGGCACAGCGAAAGCGAGAACGUGACGCGCGUGCUCGCUCGACUCGUUUCGAGCGUUGCACCGAAGCAUCGUUCCCGGGUCGGUUAAGGCGCGGUCGGCGUUCGCGUCGGUCGCGUCCCGACUCAGGUGUAGCAGACGGCCGGGGACCCGAAAGAUGGCGAUCCACGCCCGGUCGGGACGAAGCCAGAGGAAACUCUGGUGGAAGUCCGAAGCGCCUCUGACGUGCAAAUCGAUCGUCGGAACCGGGUGUAGGGGCGAAAGACCAAUCGAGCCGUCUA
rnacentral:rRNA from 1 species